rnacentral:rRNA from 1 species
UACAGGGGGUGCAAACGUUGCUCGGAAUUAUUGGGCGUAAAGCGCGUGUAGGCGGGAUGGCAAGUCGGGUGUGAAAGCCCUCAGCUCAACUGAGGAAGGGCGCCCGAAACUACUGUUCUUGAGUGUCGGAGAGGGUGGCGGAAUUCCCGGUGUAGAGGUGAAAUUCGUAGAUAUCGGGAGGAACACCAGAGGCGAAGGCGGCCACCUGGACGAAAACUGACGCUGAGACGCGAAAGCGUGGGGAGCAAACAGG